rnacentral:rRNA from 1 species
GGUGAACGCUGGCGGUAGGCCUAACACAUGCAAGUCGAACGGCAGCACAGGAGAGCUUGCUCUCUGGGUGGCGAGUGGCGGACGGGUGAGGAAUACAUCGGAAUCUACUCUGUCGUGGGGGAUAACGUAGGGAAAAUUACGCUAAUACCGCAUACGAACUACGGGUGAAAGCAGGGGACCUUCGGGUCUUGCGCGGGUGAAUGAGCGGAUGUCGGAUUCGCCAGUUGGCGGGGUAAAGGCCCACAAAGGCGACGAUCCGUAGCUGGUCUGAGAGGAGGAUCAGCCACACUGGAACUGAGACACGGGCCAGACUCAUACGGGAAGCAGCAGUGGGGAAUAUUGGACAAUGGGCGCAAGCCUAAUCCAGCCAUACCGCGUGGGUGAAGAAGGCCUUCGGGUUGUAAAGCCCUUUUGUUGGGAAAGAAAUCCAGCUGGCUAAUACCCUGUUGGGAUGACUGUACCCAAAGAAUAAGCACCGGCUAACUUCGUGCCAGCCGCCGCCGUAA